AUUGAACGCUGGCGGCAUGCCUUACACAUGCAAGUCGAACGGCAGCACGGGAGCAAUCCUGGUGGCGAGUGGCGAACGGGUGAGUAAUGUAUCGGAACGUGCCCAGUCGUGGGGGAUAACGUAGCGAAAGCUACGCUAAUACCGCAUACGAUCUGUGGAUGAAAGCGGGGGACCGUAAGGCCUCGCGCGAUUGGAGCGGCCGAUAUCAGAUUAGGUAGUUGGUGGGGUAAAGGCCCACCAAGCCGACGAUCUGUAGCUGGUCUGAGAGGACGACCAGCCACACUGGGACUGAGACACGGCCCAGACUCCUACGGGAGGCAGCAGCGGGGAAUUUUGGACAAUGGGCGCAAGCCUGAUCCAGCAAUGCCGCGUGCAGGAUGAAGGCCUUCGGGUUGUAAACUGCUUUUGUACGGAGCGAAAAGGCUCUCUCUAAUACAGGGGGCUCAUGACGGUACCGUAAGAAUGAGCACCGGCUAACUACGUGCCAGCCGCCGCAGUAA
rnacentral:rRNA from 1 species